UGCCCAACACGCGUUAAUAUUAAGCCAUUAGACGGAAGAUAUUGUGGGCCAUGGUGCCAAGUUGUGAUUUUCAAGGGUGGUUUAAGCGCCAAGUGUCUACGUGAGUGCCACAAAGGGUAUGGCCGUAGUAUUCAAGGGCCAUGGACCACCGAGGGGCCAUUAGAGGGAAGAUACUGUGUGCCAUGGUGCCAAGUGUACGAGGGUGCCACAGAGAGUUAGGUAGACGCCCCUGCCAUGGCCUUACUCAACCAGGGCCAUGGACCACCGGAGGGCCAUUGGAGGGGAGAAAUAAUGGUCCAUAGUGCCAUAUUUUGUGAUGUUCAAGGAGUAGCUGUGAAUGGCCUCAAUGAAGAAUGCGAGAAGUCUGAACAUGAGAUACAGGAGGAGGAGGAGGAGGAGGGCCUGAUACGACAAGAAUGUGGCUUCACCUACAGGGGAUGCAUUUGAGAUUAAGGAGUAGCCGUGAAUGGCCUCAAUGAAGAACAUGAGACACAAGAAAAGAUAGGAGGAGGAGGAGGAAUACAUAGGAAGAACAGACACCAGAAGACCUAUCGGUCUAUGGCGAGGGUGUCUGUUUAAGCAGGAGAGAAGGAGGAGGGCCUGAUACAACAUGAAAGCCUUCCCAAAUGUGUGUGUGUGUGUGUGUGUGUGUGUGUGUGUGUGUGUGUGUGUGUGUGUGUGUGUGUGUGUGUGUGCUUGCAGGGAGAUGAACCUUUAUCUGACUAAUGAGACUUUCUUUCAGGUCUGUGCAGAGGUGGGGGAGGAAGACUGCAGGAGGCUGUAGAGGGGUGGAUUGGGUGAAGGGGGACUUGACAACACUACCAUGCAAGCUGGGCUAAGGUAAUGUAUGAUUGGUUUUGUUACGCUCAAAGGGAAGGGCGAUCCCAGAUACGUCGCGGAGGCGCUGUUUUGGCCUGGCCGUAGUGAGUUUCUUUAUGUGCACCAUUUAAUUCUGCAUGUUUUCGUAUAUAAUACAUGAUGAUUAUGUUGAGUUUAUGGCUGAAAACUUGUUAUAUUCAAUAGCGACAUUUGAAAUUUGGCGCGCACGGUGAUCUCGGAUACGGUCCGGGGCGCUGUUUUGGCCCGGCCGUAGUGAAGGGGUUAAGUGUAUCUAUGAAGGCUAAUUAUCUAUAAGUAUUUAAGUGUAAGGUUCUGUGGGGUAACUAAUCUAAGUGUAAUGGUGCAUUCUGUGGGAAUUACUUAAGUGUAAUCUAUGAAGGCUACAUCUAUAAGUAUAUAAGUGUGUAAGGUCCUGUGGGGUAACUAAUCUAAGGUUAUGUGCAACUACUGGUUCUGGUGCUGUGGGUAACUCCUACAAACCCUUUCUACUAUGGCUAUUAAUUAACAAAAACCUCUUACUUUCAGCUUGUGCACUGGGUUAAAAAAUAGUUAAUGUUAGAGUUGGAAGUGUCUGACAGUCCCAUC